CUCAAUGUCUCUUUCUAUCUCUGUCUCUGACUUUUUCUCCCUCUGCCUCCCUCUUUCUUCCCCUCUCCUUCUCUUUCUCUUUUCUUUUCAAAACUCUUUUCAGGACUUGCUCCAAGAUUCAGAAAACAAUGACCUUCACCCAUGCAUGCCCCUGCCUCCCAUCUCAAGGGUCCUCACCCCACCCUGGUCCUCUUCUGUCAAAUAGCCCAUAAAUUCCUUCCCAGGAAGGGGAGAGGAACUCCAGGCAUUGUCCUUUGAAUAUGUGCAUUUUUAAAAAGGUUUCCGAGAUGGCCAAGUUCACCCCAAAGAAAGUCCUCUUGUGUGGUGGCCCUCAGGCACCCCGCUGGCUGAAUGUGACAGACAGAGCAUGGGUAUAGGGGAACACGGCUAGACUGGGACUGAGAAGACAGGAUCCUAGUUCUGCCCCUCCUGCUCAUUGUCUGCCUGGGGCCAGUCACAGCUCUUCUCAGGACCCCAAGACAAUGGGGAAGCUGGCCUUGGUGGUCUGGAGCCCGGAUCAGCUCUGGAAUUGGGAGUUAUGAAUUGUGGGUUUCUGCCCAUGUCACCCUCAUUCUCCUCCUCCCAGACGUGCUUGCUGUCAUUGCCUAGGGGGUCUCUGCUGGUCCACCCAGGCCUUGCUCCAGGCUGCAGAAUUCCUUGCAUUCUCCAGAAAUUCUCUGCUAAACCCAUCCACCUUGUUGCCUCAUCCUAACCACCUCUACAGAAUUUGCAUAUUAAAAGAAGUUUCUGAGAGGAGCCAUCUCUUUUCCCAGGAAUCACUCUUUAAUGAUGGAAGAGCAGCAGUGUGGCAGGCCAGGAGCUCCCGUGAUGUCCUGUGAGCCAUGCCACCUCACUCCCUUUCCCCUGACACCUCAGCAUAUGGAGAUUACAUUACUGGUGUUUCUGCUUGGAUGAUUUUGGCAUCUGCCAAAUAAAUUUGGGGCCUUAAGGAAAUUUUUAGCAAUGUCUCCCUACCCAGAAAUAUUUGUUCCCUUCGGUGGGAGGAAACCACACCUGCCAUUCAGGUCUGCUUGGGCAGUAGGACCCCUACUCUCUCUUUCGCUCUCUCUUUUUCGGGUCUGCCUUUUCUCAUCAGAUGGGGGAAGGGACGGUGCUUCUCCCUUCGACUGGAGUUUCCUGAGGGCAGAGGCUCUAUCUCCUCCCACCUCUGGGUCCUGUCCUACACCUGCUCAGGGAGCCUUCUCUGCCCCUAGCAGAAAUUCCAGACCAGAGAUAGAUUGGGUGUCUCCUGGCCAGGCUGCCCCUCGCAGGGUUUCAGUCUCCUGCUCAAGCUGCUGCACCACUAGCCAGGCCACAGACUUACCUGACCUCUGCCGCCUCCAAGAGCUGAAGGCCGAAGGCCACCACCGUCCACUUCAGGACGCCGAUUCCCAACUGGCCGCAGAGGAAAAGCUGCUCCAAGUUGUGUGGUCACCGUGGAGUGAAGGCCUGGGCACUCCCUCUUCCUUUAUAUCCCGGGAUCUGGUCCAGUCCCUGCCUCCCUGCCCUGGGCAAACACGACCUCAAUCCCGGGUGUACCCUGUGCUCCGUGUAUCAGUUGUUUCUGUGUGUUUUCCAUCUCGAUGGUGGCCGCAAAGGACUUUUCAUCUUAUUGACUUUUUAAUACAAGCAGUGGAGGCCAGGAGGUGUGCGCGAUAAGAGAGAACAAAGUUGCCGUGAGAUGGAGCAGUGAAGACCACUUCUUGUCCAGGACCCAGAGGUUUGACAGGGGCAUUUUGGGGUGAGGGCCAUGGGAUCUAUAGGCAGGUGUCUCGUCCUCGGUACUAUUGACAUUUUGGAACAAAUAAUUCUUUGUUGGGGGGCUGUCCUGUGCCCGGUAGGAUGUUUAGUGGCACCCCUGGCCUCUACCCACUACAGGCCAGCAGCAGUGCCCCAGCUGUGACAACCAAAAAUGUCUCCAGGUAUUGCCAAUGUCCCCUUGUGGAGCAAAACUGCUGAGCACCACUGGUCCAUGGGUGACGUGCUCGAAGGUCUGGCUCAAGUCCUGGUUCCCAGGACCCCCAAGCCUUUGAGGGGUGCAGUUGGGGGGUCUGGGGAUGAUGCAGUCAGUAGCUAGGAUGAUGGUAAUGAUAAUGGCGGUGGUGAGGGUGGUGCUGAUGGUGGUAUCAUUAGCCCUGAUGCAGGUGGUGCAGCUGGGAUGCCAAUGGCUGAAGUCCAACCUAUUUGGGGCAGCUUCAGAGGCUUUCCUGGUCAAAUGGGGCAUUUGGAGAAAUUCUCAUCAUAAUUCAGCAAGUACUCAGGACACACCCAUAGUGUAAGCCGCACUGGCUCCUGCUUGUGCCUCUCACACUCAUCUGGAACAACAGGAGCCCUGGGCAGGAGCAUAGGAAGAGGGGACAAGAAUGCCCUUGCUUCUCUUCCUCAUUGUCUCUCUUCUCCUGCCCCAUGGCGACUCUACCCCCAUCUUGAGGUCUCCUAAAACUCCUGUGUCCCCCAUUACCCUUCUCCCAAGCCCCCGUCUACCCUUUGUCCUGCCCCCAAGUCUGAUCCAUCAUGUGCCUCUAUCCCUCGUCUCCGGCAGCCCUGCUUCCCAGCUACAAGCUUCUCAUUGCCUGAAGUGACCCGAGGCUGACCCAGCGCCCGCUAACCUGGCACAGGAGAACCCCUCAUUUUGGGAGCCAGGAUGUGCAGAGUCUGAGGACACCUUAGAAGUCAUCCAGGGCCACCUCCCACCAAGGACAGGAGCCCCAGGAUGCCUGACCCACUGGCUGCUGCCCAGACUAGAAGCUCCUAGAGGCAGAGGCUGCAGCUUCCACGUCCCUGGGCCUGGCCUGGAGCUCAGGAGUGCUGAACCGUAGAUGGAACCCAGGGGAUUGCUCUCAAUGGGGCUUCGUUAUAUCUCCCGCACCCCAUUAUCCCACUGCUCUAAUUUCCACCCCACGCUCCAAAAGGAUCUUCUCAAAAUCCAGGGCCUGGGAUCCUCUCAUAGUGGUGGUCUUCCAGGAAAAAACCAUUUUGUCAUCACUCUCUGGUCUCAUCUCCCUCUAAGCACCACCUGCCUCAAAACUUGUCCAAGUCCCCGUGACUAACUGAAUAAAAUCCAAACUGAUCGCCCUGGCUGUCAGGACAC